rnacentral:rRNA from 1 species
CCUACGGGAUGCAGCAGUGGGGAAUAUUGGGCAAUGGGCGCAAGCCUGACCCAGCAACGCCGCGUGAAGGAAGCAGGCUUUCGGGUUGUAAACUUCUUUUGACAGGGAAGAGCAGAAGACGGUACCUGUCGAAUAAGCCACGGCUAACUACGUGCCAGCAGCCGCGGUAAUACGUAGGUGGCAAGCGUUGUCCGGAUUUACUGGGUGUAAGGGGCGUGUAGCCGGGCUGACAAGUCAGAUGUGAAAUCCGGGGGCUCAACCCCCGAAUGGCAUUUGAAACUGUUGGUCUGGAGUAUCGGAGAGGCAGGCGGAAUUCCUAGUGUAGCGGUGAAAUGCGUAGAUAUUAGGCGGAACACCAGUGGCGAAGGCGGCCUGCUGGACGACAACUGACGGUGAGGCGCGAAAGCGUGGGGAGCAAACAGGAUUAGAUACCCGUGUAGUC